rnacentral:rRNA from 1 species
AUUGAACGCUGGCGGCAGGCUUAACACAUGCAAGUCGAGCGGAGCGAGGGUGCUUGCACCUUAGCUUAGCGGCGGACGGGUGAGUAAUGCUUAGGAAUCUGCCUAUUAGUGGGGGACAACAUUCGAAAGGAAUGCUAAUACCGCAUACGCCCUACGGGGGAAAGCAGGGGAUCUUCGGACCUUGCGCUAAUAGAUGAGCCUAAGUCGGCUUAGCUAGUUGGUGGGGUAAAGGCCUACCAGGGCGACGAUCUGUAGCGGGUCUGAGAGGAUGAUCCGCCACACUGGGACUGAGACACGGCACAGACUCCUACGGGAGGCAGCAGUGGGGAAUAUUGGACAAUGGGCGGAAGCCUGAUCCAGCCAUGCCGCGUGUGUGAAGAAGGCCUUUUGGUUGUAAAGCACUUUAAGCGAGGAGGAGGCUACUUAGAUUAAUACUCUGGGAUAGUGGACGUUACUCGCAGAAUAAGCACCGGCUAACUCUGUGCCAGCCGCCGCGGUAACAC